rnacentral:rRNA from 1 species
AUUGAACGCUGGCGGAAUGCUUUACACAUGCAAGUCGAACGGCAGCACGGGAGCUUGCUCCUGGUGGCGAGUGGCGAACGGGUGAGUAAUGCAUCGGAACGUACCUAUUAGUGGGGGAUAACUAUCCGAAAGGAUAGCUAAUACCGCAUACGUCCUGAGGGAGAAAGCGGGGGAUCGCAAGACCUCGCGCUAAUAGAGCGGCCGAUGUUGGAUUAGCUAGUUGGUGGGGUAAAGGCCUACCAAGGCGACGAUCCAUAGCUGGUCUGAGAGGAUGAGCAGCCACACUGGGACUGAGACACGGCCCAGACUCCUACGGGGGGCAGCAGUGGGGAAUUUUGGACAAUGGGGGCAACCCUGAUCCAGCCAUUCCGCGUGAGUGAAGAAGGCCUUCGGGUUGUAAAGCUCUUUCGGCAGGAACGAAACGGUGGUUACUAAUACUAGCUACUAAUGACGGUACCUGAAGAAGAAGCACCGGCUAACUACGUGCCAGCCGCCGCAGUAA